rnacentral:rRNA from 1 species
AACGAACGCUGGCGGCAUGCCUAACACAUGCAAGUCGAACGAGACCUUCGGGUCUAGUGGCGCACGGGUGCGUAACGCGUGGGAACCUGCCCUUAGGUUCGGAAUAACUCCCCGAAAGGGGUGCUAAUACCGGAUAAUGUCUUCGGACCAAAGAUUUAUCGCCUUUGGAUGGGCCCGCGUUGGAUUAGCUAGUUGGUAGGGUAAAAGCCUACCAUGGCGACGAUCCAUAGCUGGUCUGAGAGGAUGAUCAGCCACACUGGGACUGAGACACGGCCCAGACUCCUACGGGAGGCAGCAGUGGGGAAUAUUGGACAAUGGGCGAAAGCCUGAUCCAGCAAUGCCGCGUGAGUGAUGAAGGCCUUAGGGUUGUAAAGCUCUUUUACCCGGGAUGAUAAUGACAGUACCGGGAGAAUAAGCGCCGGCUAACUCCGUG